rnacentral:rRNA from 1 species
UUCGCAAUGCCCGAAAGGGUGACGAAGCGACGCCGCGUGCGGGAAGGAGGCCUUCGGGUUGUAAACCGCUGUCGGGAGUUAAGAAAUGUAAGGAUGUUAAUAGCAUCUUUGCUUGACUAAGGCUCCGGAGGAAGCCACGGCUAACUCUGUGCCAGCAGCCGCGGUAAUACAGAGGCGGCAAGCGUUGUUCGGUAUUAUUGGGCGUAAAGAGCACGUAGGUGGUUUUGUAAGUCAGAUGUGAAAGCCUUCUGUUCAAAGGAAGAACGGCAUCUGAAACUGCAAAUCUUGAGUGUAGGAGGGGAGAGUGGAACUUCUGGUGGAGCGGUGAAAUGCGUAGAUAUCAGAAGGAACGCCGGCGGCGAAAGCGGCUCUCUGGCCCAUAACUGACGCUGAGUGUGCGAAAGCUAGGGGAGCAAACGGGAUUAGAUACCCCGGUAGUCCUAGCCGUAAACGAUGGGCACUAAGUAGAGGGGUUUUA